rnacentral:lncRNA from 1 species
AUGAAAAUCACUUGUCAUCUCCAUCUUCUCCAUUCUCACCAGCCACAACCUAGUACUUCGUUCAACCACUAGAGAAUCCCUUGCUUCAUCAAUGACCACUGGAGUUUGUGCCACAACUAUCAACCUUGUCAUAGUAGAUAAGAGCUCCACCACGCACUUACAACAGAAACAAGAGACCUUCGCCUUUUAAGGAUGUUUCAAUUGAUUAUUUCAAAGUACUUUGGAUGAUUUUCACUCCUUC